GACGAACGCUGGCGGCGUGCUUAACACAUGCAAGUCGAACGGAAAGGCCCUGCUUUUGUGGGGUGCUCGAGUGGCGAACGGGUGAGUAACACGUGAGUAACCUGCCCUUGACUUUGGGAUAACUUCAGGAAACUGGGGCUAAUACCGGAUAGGAGCUCCUGCUGCAUGUUGGGGGUUGGAAAGUUUCGGCGGUUGGGGAUGGACUCGCGGCUUAUCAGCUUGUUGGUGGGGUAGUGGCUUACCAAGGCUUUGACGGGUAGCCGGCCUGAGAGCGUGACCGGCCACAAUGGGACUGAGAUACGGCCCAGACUCCUACGGGAGGCAGCAGUGGGGAAUAUUGCACAAUGGGCGGAAGCCUGAUGCAGCAACGCCGCGUGCGGGAUGACGGCCUUCGGGUUGUAAACCGCUUUCGCCUGUGACGAAGCGUGAGUGACGGUAAUGGGUAAAGAAGCACCGGCUAACUACGUG
rnacentral:rRNA from 1 species